GGCAGUGUCUCCAUGGUGACGGGGCUGUUCCUGGGGAGGCUGUGAUGGGUUGACAGGUGCGUGACAGUCGGAGCUCUCUGCAGGCAUGUACGGCAAAGGCAAGAGCAACAGCAGCGUCCCGUCCGACAGCCAGGCCAGGGAGAAGUUAGCACUGUAUGUAUAUGAAUAUCUGCUCCAUGUAGGAGCACAGAAAUCUGCCCAGACAUUUUUAUCAGAGAUAAGAUGGGAAAAAAACAUCACGUUGGGGGAGCCCCCAGGAUUCUUGCACUCUUGGUGGUGUGUAUUUUGGGAUCUCUACUGUGCAGCUCCAGAAAGACGAGAAACGUGUGAACAUUCAAGUGAAGCUAAAGCCUUUCAUGAUUACAGUGCUGCAGCAGCUCCCAGUCCAGUGCUAGGAAACAUUCCCCCAGGAGAUGGCAUGCCAGUAGGUCCUGUACCACCGGGUUUUUUUCAGCCUUUUAUGUCCCCUCGAUACCCUGGAGGUCCAAGGCCACCUUUAAGAAUACCCAAUCAGGCACUUGGAGGUGUCCCAGGAAGUCAGCCAUUAUUGCCCAGUGGGAUGGACCCAACACGACAACAAGGGCAUCCAAACAUGGGUGGGCCAAUGCAGAGAAUGACUCCUCCAAGAGGAAUGGUUCCAUUAGGACCACAGAACUAUGGAGGUGCAAUGAGACCGCCACUGAAUGCUUUAGGUGGCCCUGGAAUGCCUGGAAUGAACAUGGGUCCAGGAGGUGGUAGACCGUGGCCAAACCCAACGAAUGCCAAUUCUAUACCGUACUCUUCAGCAUCUCCUGGGAAUUAUGUAGGUCCUCCAGGGGGUGGAGGGCCACCAGGAACACCCAUCAUGCCUAGUCCUGCAGAUUCAACUAACUCUGGAGACAACAUGUACACUUUAAUGAAUGCAGUACCACCUGGACCCAACAGAUCUAAUUUUCCAAUGGGCCCGGGGUCAGAUGGACCUAUGGGUGGACUGGGUGGAAUGGAAUCACAUCAUAUGAAUGGAUCUUUAGGCUCAGGAGACAUGGACAGUAUUUCCAAAAACUCUCCCAGUAAUAUGAGCAUGAGUAAUCAGCCUGGCACUCCCAGAGAUGAGGGUGAAAUGGGUGGAAAUUUCCUAAACCCUUUUCAGAGUGAGAGUGAUCAGGAUGAGAGGGCUCAGAAGCUGAUAGGAACAAGCCCUAAAUCAGACGAGACCAAACAAAGAAAAUUAUGAAGGUCAAAACAGAUUUUCCCAAUUAGUCUGUUCUAAGCAUCUUGUAUUAGAGAGAAGAUCUAACCAAACCCUGGUUCUGAACAUCCUUCAACACUGGGAAAAGUACUCCCCCAGCAUGACAAUGAGUGUGUGAUCCAUACCAAGUCUCCUCAUGAAGACCGCAGUGAGUUGGCCCUCUUCAGAGAGCUACUACAGAAGAAAAUUACUCGUCCCAGUGUACAGUUUAACAAAAGGAUCUCAGACACAACCAGACCCACCAUCUUUUCCUACCAUCUCCCCAGUUUUGUGAAGAAAGUGGGUCCAAACAUGAUUCAAACAACUAUAAAGAGUGGCAUAACAGAACUGCCCAAGAGUGAACUGCAAACAAUUAUCCUGUGUAUGUAUAAGUGCGGAUAGAUGUAUAUGUGUGUGGAUAUGUUAUAUUGACAUACAUACACACACAUAUACAUAUAUAGACCUGCAGGACAUUGUAAAAUAUUAUCACAUGACAUCUUAAGUAGAAAUAAGAAAUAGAGACUUUUAUUCCAUCUUUUUUUCACGUUUACAUUUUAACUAUUAAAAUUUGCGUUCCCUCUCCUCCCCGAACUGUUCUGUGCUGCGUAUAUCACUGCUUUAUAAGUUAUUUUUUAAGGUGAACCCAAAUGGUCAAUUGUUCUGAUUUUGUAAAUGUCUGCCAUCAUGGAUAGGAAUAAAAUUGCUCGUAAGAGGGCUUUCACAAACUUGUAUCAUACCAGUUACCCUGUGAAUCAGAAACUGUGCUCUCUCAAGAAAUAGAAGAAAGCUCAUCUUAAUUUUGUGGGGAAAUUUAAUAAUUUGUCACCUGGCUUUAGUGGUAUUGGGGGUUUUUUGUGUUUUUUUUUAUUUGUUUUGCUUUUUUGUGCUUAGUACCUUUAAAAAUAGGAGCACUGAAGGUUAUUUUUCUUCCUCAAAUGAGGCCUAAUAUCUGCAAAAUCUACUUUAAAUGGAAGUCUGAGUUUGAUACAAGACUCAGUUUAUCCAGAGUAUUUUAACAUUGCUGUAAAUGAGCUCCAGUUGCUAUAGAACCCAGCAAUAAAGUGGCAGGGCUUCUUCAGUCCUUGGAAAUAAGUUUUCCCUUUAGCCUGAUCUUCCAUGUGUGUGGUAGCAAGUAGAAAUACAAUAAAAUCCCUAUUACUGAAACCUCUUUUUCUAACAAACUGCCAGCUCGUCUCCCUUUUCUAUUGAUUCUUGGCUGACUCCCAAUUAUCCAUAGUCCUGAUUAUCAGAACAUAUUUAGUGUCUGCCAAGCCAUUCAAAUAAUCAGGAUUCCACUGUACUUGAUUUGUUAUUUUUCACCAGGAAUACUAGAGCUGAACUCCUUAGAAACUUUCCAGUACAUAAUCACAUUAGUGAACCAAAAUGAUUGAGCAUUUUGUGGGUACUUCCCAUGCAGGGAAUGUUGGAAGGCUCAUGCCCUUAUAUCAGAAACAGAACAGGAACAGAGGUCUGAGCCUUUUUAUAAGGAAAUCAGGAUACUGUAUUUCAAAACUUUGGAGAUAGUGGGGAAAAAAGGAAAGUGGUUAUACGGCUUCCUGCACCAUCAAAGAAAAGCCUUUAGGAGGAGUCUCCUAUCCCUUAAUGUAAAGCUCUAAAAUCUAAGAUUAUAUUACAUUUAAUUCCUAAUGACUCCCAUCUUCCCCAAGAAAAUGAAAGGAUGUACCUGCGUGGUAUGAAAAAGGGUGAUAUUCAGAACCUCAGGCACAAAGUGUCUGAAUUAAAUUCAUUCUGCCGAUACCAAGCAAUGUUCACCCCUCAAAAUUCACACCUCAGUGGGAGAUCCCCAAAAUAUGGUGCUCACCUGCAGAUUUGUCAGGAGAAUUUUGCCCUUAAGUUGUGAUAAAGGGUUGCAUGUUAUGGGGGUCAAUGUGCAGGUAGACGUACAUCACUGCAUGUAUCAGGAGUAGAUCAAAUUCCCUGUUAGCAUAUAAAUGAAUAAAAUUAGAAUGUCUUUUACCCCACUGUUGGAACUACAUAAAGAGUAAACUCUUCUUAGGCACCAGGCUGUUACUAGAAAUUGUAUUCAGAUUUUAAAAAUUUUAUGAGACAUUUCCCUUUAGUUAAAAAAAAUAAUAAUGAUCAUUUGUAACCUAAAAUUAGAUAAAAGUAUUGAUAUGGUUCUGUUUACUUUACUCCCGGUUAUUAUCGAGUUUGAGUUCAUUUAUUCAUCUUUUGAAAACAACUAGUUUUUGCUGUCUCUCAAAAAGAUCCUUGGAGUACUAAUCAAUUUCACUUACAAAAAAAAUUCAAAAUUAGACUCCAGUCCUGCAACACACAUGUAUUUAACGUGACUACUGUGAGUAGUCUCACUGAUUUCAGUGGGACAACUCACAGUAGUAAAGUUAAAUGUGCUCACAUCCUUAGUAUUUACCAGAUAAAUGAAAUAACACCUUUUGUUUACACAUUUUCUUUUUCUCUUUUAGUUUUACAUUACCAGGAACUGUUUAUGGAUUCCUUCAUGGGGGAAUAAAUAUGACCAUUAAAUAAAAAUGAUGCAAACCAGAAUAUAAAAUAGAAAUCAUAUCCUUUAAAAUAGAACUGUCAAAAAUGUACUAAAUGUCCAGGACAAUGAUUUUAAAUGUAAAAUCACCAUCAAAAUAUUUUCUCCUAGUUUACCUACAAUAGCAUGAUGUACUUCUGGCAACACAGAUUUUUUUCCUGUGAUUUUUUUAGCACCCCCUUCCCAAUUUUGUCCCACUUGUAGCACAACCUCUCAACUUCUUGUGUCCUCACCUCCUCUUCCAGUCCCUUCCAAAAUAUUUGUGUUAAAUUAAACUGCUGAGUAAUGGGAUAGAUCCUGCAUCACUAAAGUCAGUAAGAAUUUUGUCAUUGACUUAAAAGGGAGCAGAAUCAGCCCCUACAGUACUUAGGUGGGAAUUAUAGACCCUAGUCCUGCAAAGAAUUAAACAUGUACAUAUCUUUUCACACCUUAGUAGUUUCACAGACUCCAGUGAGACCACUCAGGUAUGUAAAGUUGCACAUGUGCUUAAGUCUUUGAAAGAUCAGGGCUGUACAUAAUUAGAGAUGGAAAAAGACCCAUUUGAUCAUCCGAUGCAUCUCUUGAGUUGUUAUGACAAACUUCAUCACACAUAAGUAAUGAUCUCUGCUACUCUUACCUUCCCUUUUUAGAGAAUGAUCCUGCAAAAGUUUACAUACAUAAGUAAAGUUACUCACAUACAUGUUGGCAAGAGCAGGUGCUUAGAUCACACAUACACAUGUUUUGCAGCUAAGCCACAGGGAAUAAUAGUUGUAUUUGCUAAAUAUGCAACAUAUUCAAAGGACGCCUUUUAGCUUUCAAAUUUGUAUCGGGUUUUUUGUUUGUUAACUUUCUUUUGCUUACAAAAUUCUUUUAUAAGUUUGCAAUAUAGAGACCAAAAUUGAGAUGGAAGGAAAUUUUAUUUCCAAGCACUGAUUUUUUUCCCCUCCCACCAGUGUUUCUCAUGCACUAGAUGUUGAUGUGUACUGUAACUGCUGUUUGUUUUUAUGCUUAUGCACCAGCAUUGUCAGAUGGAAAUUGUCCAGAUCUGGAAGUAAUGCUAAUUUAAGAGCAACAGGUCAGCUUUCGCACUAAGUUUUAAGAUAGUGGUCUUUUUAUGUUUUUUUAAUAUUUAGAAGAUUAAGGCCUGAUUUGCCAAACACUUUUUUUUUCAGUAAAAUAUUUUAAAAGAGAAGAGAUGGAGCCUUAGAACAUCGAAAGCAGGGAAUAGUGGGUUUUCUUUCUCUCUGUAGAGAUGCUGGUUGAAAUCCUGGUGCUACUGAAGUGAGCAGGAGUUUUGCCUCUGAUUUGAAUGGAAGCAGGAUUUCACUGUCUAUGUAAACAUGUGCAAAGGAAUCUUUGUGUCCAUAUUUUAUUUCCACACAAAGGUUUGUGGAGACAUUAACUCUCCUUCCAUCUUCAUUAAAAAAAAAGGAGUGAAAGAGGUUGUAUGAAUCACAAGAACAAUAGGCUGCCUGAAAUGUACAUUAAAAAGUACCUUAAUAUUUUUAUAUAUAGAUAGGGCACUUAUAUUAUUUUCUAGUAAAUUUGUGUGUGAAGAACUGAAGUUGAGCUCUGUGUUGCUCCUCAGUUUAUUUUAAAAUGAAUUUAGAGUUCAUGAAAGGUGCUGGAUUUGAAAGCCCUUGAGACUAGUCUUUUGUGCACCCCACACUGCCCCAGUAGUGUGCCUCGACCUUGAUCUGGAGGGCCUACCAUUGCAAAGAGAGAGAGUAGUUCUGUCUCCAGUGCUUGAAGUCAUUUGUCUCUCUGCUGAGUGCCACAGUUGCCAAUUUUUAUUUGGAAACCUGCUUGUUAGGGAUUGGACCACCAGCUUAUUAGACAAUCAACUAUGGUAAUAACUUUCAGUCACCAACCCGCUCCAGUUUUGAAGUAGUGACCCAUAGGUGAAAGGCACCAUUUCCCAUGAGCCUGAAACAUCCAGUCCACCUAUGAGCUUUGUAUUUUAAAGGGAAAUAUUUUAGUUUAAUUAAUUAUUUUGAGUGGCUCAAACUAGCAGAGGUGAUUUAAAAACUUUCUUUUGUGUGAAUCAUAGAAAUAUGGGGCUGUAAGGGAUCUCGAGAGGUCAUCUAAUCCAGCGCUCUGCACUGAGGCAAGACCAAGUAUACCUAGACCAUCUGUGGCAGGUGUUUGUUAAACCUGUUCUUAAAAACCUCCAAUGACAGGGAUUCCACAACAACGCUUCCACAACCUGUUGCAGUAGUUAACUAUUCUUGUAAUUUGAAAGAUUUUCCUAAUAUAUAACCUCAUCUCCCUUACUGCAGAUUAAUCCAAUUACUUCUUGCCCUAACUUUAGUGGACACAGAGAACAAUUAUGCACCAUCCUCUUUAUAACAGCCCUUAACAUAUUUGAAGACUGUUAUCAGGUCCCCCCCAAGUCUUCUUUUCUCAAGACUAAACAUGCCCAAUUUUUUAAACCUUUCCUCAUAGGUCAGAUUUUCUAAACCUUUGAUCAUUUGUGUUGCUCUCCUGUAAGCUCUCUCCAGUUUAUCCACAUCUUGAAGUGUGGUGCCCAAAAGUGUGGACACCAUACUCCAUGAGGCUGGAAUCUCUGCGUUAGAAGGAUAACAAAUUCCUACAGUGGCUAAAACACAUUUGAAUUUUCCCCUGUCCCAUGAUUAGCAAAUGAAAUACUGUAUGUAGAGAGGGUUUGGAAUUAGAUGGGUAAUUUAAUGAGGGACCAGCUGUUACAAUAUUCAGAGUUGUAUAUUUUAAUUUUUUUUCCCUUGAUAUAAUGACUUUUCAGCUGAUAAAUAUUGCACUGAUGUCUAUUUCCUGGAUCAUUUAAUUAUUUUUUAAGUAUUUUAGCUCUGUUCCUAGCCAUCUUUAGUACUUUUUGUUGUUGUUAAAUGUGGGCCAAAUUCGGUAAGAUUUGGUCCUAUGCAUUGAAAGUUGUAGGGCACAACAAAUUUACAGAUUAAUGAUGCAAAAAAAAAUUGCCAGGAGAAGUAAAUUGCAACUGAUGAUAGCACCAGUUCCAGUCCCAUUUGGGUUUGUUUGGGUGGCUUUGAGGGUAGGAAUCAUGUUGAACCACAUAGUUUGCAAAUAAAAACUGUUAGACUCCCUUCCGUACAAGUGACAACUCAUUUCUCUUCAAACAAGCUGAUGUGGCAAUUUAAUGUUAGCAAAUGAUCACAUUAAGGAUCUAUCUCUAUAUUUCAUGGUGCAAAAAAACAGAGAUAAGAAAUUCACUUCAGCCCUCAAAUGUAAAUGAGUUAUACUUAAAUACGUUGUGUGUGUAGCUUCCUUUGUUUCUCCGGACAUUAUUGGUCUGGUGCUGCAAGCCCUUACUCAUGCAAGUUGUCCCGCUGAAGUCUUGAUGCAGCUGCUCAUGUGAGGAGCAGGUUUGCAGGAUUAUUUGCCUUGUAAUCUUAUUUAGCCAUAUACAUAGGUACAGCAAAAUGUAAAGGGCAGGUUGAAAUCAACAAAAUGAUGUUGGUUAUGAAGGGAAAGAGUCCAAUGAGCUCUUCAUAGAUACAAAUCAUUGCUUUGGCUGCACACAAUAGUUCAAUUUACCAAUAUUAUUAUAUUUGCAGCUUGUUACAGUAAUAAAUUUAGAAUGAAUAACUGGACCUUCCACUCAAAAAACGUAGUAAAACUCUGAUCCUGCAAACACACAAAGUCAAUGGGAUGCCUCACAGGCUUAAAUUUAAGAUGUAUAAGGAUUUGUAGGAUUGGAGCCUAAAUUGUUCAUUCUUGAGUCUUCCCUGAAAUAGACACUUUAUUUUUUUAAUUUUUAGCAAUGCAAGAGUGUAUUUAUGCAUCAAUAUAAUUGAUACCUGGAAUGGGAUUUGGCUUUCUUCUGUUUCUUAAUUUAUCAGACCUCUCUCCACAGCUACCUAAAAUAUUUCUAUGAAUGUGUCCUUUCAUCUUGUUUUAAAUUGUGCAUUCAUAUUUUUUCAUUAAAACAGUUAACAGCUGUGCAGUUUUUAUCCAAACUUAUGUUUGGUUACUGUUCAUCAUUUAAGUUUAAAAUAUAUAAGGAAGCCUCUCAUGUAAUGGGAAAACUUGCCAUAAAAAUGUAUAAAGGUGUAUGCCCUUUUCUUGGGUACAUGUUUUCACGUUUAAUAAAAACACAGUUUCCGUUUAUAACUUGAAACCUUCAGUUUCUAGCCACCAUUUAAUUUCUAUGUGUAAAGGAGGUAGAGAAAAUAAAUUGCUUUUGUUUUUCAUUUGAAUUCAGCAUACUAAAUAUUUGCUGAAUGACACAGCUUUGAGAAAUUGAAUCAAAACAUUUUUAUUCAAUCGUUGUUGUGAAUAACAAAUUACAUUCAAAAACUGUGAUUCCUAAAAUCAAAUGUGAGAAAAUUAUAAAGGCUCUAUUCACAAAUAUUUGAGUUUUUUGUGUGCACCAAUUUUUCAACUGUAUAUGAUGGAUGGCCAUCUGUGGCCAGUUAGCUGUGUAUGGCUUUGUAUUUGCAUUAAGCAGCCUCUGAACGACACAAAGUAGACGCACUGGCAUGUGCACAGAGUUUGGUAAGUAGUGGAUGAUUCACCUGCAAGAGUACACAAAGCCAUUCACUAAAUUCCAGAUACUCCAAUGUGUGACAAUCUCUGCUGCCUAGUUAUUCACUUCUGUAAAUGCUACAGUAUGUGUUCACAUGAUGAUGCAUUUGGGGGCUUCCUCCCGAUCUUCAUAUGCCAAGAAGAGAAUCCCCAGUUUCAUUUUACUAACAGCAAAAAUUUGGCGGCACUCAAGUCUGUAUAGAGAAUCCAGGGCAAACAUGGAUGAUUUAAACAAGAUUUUGUAUUUUCUCAGUGCCCUGUUUUACUGAAAUGGGGAAUAGGAGAACUGAAACACAUGGAAAGUAGGAUUGUAUUAUUUAUAUUUACUCCUGCCCCUGCACAGAAGGAAAUGAUAACAAUUACUUCUGUACCCACUUUUGACAGAAACCAAAUAAAAUGAAACCACUGUUAAUAAUUAACUGAUGUGAAAAUUAGGGAGGCAAAUUAUCAGCUGUGUAAAUUAGCUCUUCCUAGGUUUUAUUUAUAGAGUUAAUGUCUAUAUUCCUUUUUUCUCCUCUCUCUUUGGACUUCUGUUUUCCACCCAUCCUACUGCAUGCCAGCUGUUUGCACAAAAAUCGUGUGCAAUUGCUGCAAGAAUAAUUUACACAAAAUCCAUGCAAAAUGUUGCUUACAUUUGUGAAUAGAGUCCUAACCGUACAUAGAUUAUUUCAUUAGAGAUGUUGCAAUAAACAUUUUUUGUGUAAGAAAUAGCCUGUUUCCUCAAGGCCUGAUCCUGCACAUUGCGAGGAAUCCUCAGCACUAGAAAUUAGGGCAUGUAGCAUCUCACAGGAUUAUGCUCUAAAUCAGGCAACAGACACUCUGUGCCUCUUAAAAUGAUCUAAAACAAGAGUUGCUGUUUCCCAUAGAAAAUGGGGAGAAAAAAUCCAUCCUGAAUAAAACACACAUAAUCGAAAUAGAAGGCUGCAAUGCUGCUUUACUAAAGCUGUCCUUGGAAAGUCCAUGAUUUGAGAAUUGUACUUUAUCAGCGAGAAACUGGUUAGCGACACACAUCAACAAAAGAGAUAGCCAAGAUUUGGUAACUGCCCUGUUCUUCAAUAUAUAAGUGCAUCCCCCAGAGACUAUAGGUCCCAGCGGGAGACCAUUCAGAUGAAGGUGAGAUCCCCCUCUGAAUCAGAGAGAACAUUACAGACUGGGACAUAUAAUCGCCAUAGCCCAUGACUAUUAUAGAUAAGGGAUGGGCAAAGUCUGAGUGCCUUGCGUUUUGACAACUAGACUAAGAGUGCAUCAGAAAUUAAAGUGUUUGCAGAAAACUGAAAGUUGAUAUUUUUUAAAUUAUACUUUUAAACAAUAUUAUUCAGAAAUUUGACCUUCAAAAAUGUCAAUAAAAUAUUUCCCAGACCUAUUAAAAAUUUCUAAAGAACUCCCAGUUUUUAUUUGACUUACCACAUUUCAGAUGAUUUUUAAAUGGAAAAAAAAUUAAUUCCUAAGUAAAAACAGAAAAAUCAGCAUUAAACAAAGGUAUAAAUGAAGUGGAAGCUGGAGCUUUGGGGGCUUUUUUAUUUCUAAUAAAAUUUAAGUUUCAGGAAAAAAAGAGAGAAUUUUUACAAGAAACAUCUAUAAAUUUGUAAUGGCAAUUAAAGAAAUGUAAAUCAAAUUGAUUUAAGUGUGCAAAGACCAACUUUGAUUUGGGCUUUUUGUGGCAAGUAUCCCCUUGCAAAAAAUAUUGUGGUGCAUCUACUAUUGUUUUCCUUUUUGUGUGUAUGUCUGUGUGUGCACAUGCAUGCACAUGCCCAAUGUUAAAAACCCUUUAUUACAUAGGUUGGCCGUUCAUGCAUCUGGCAACACCUGCUUACUGUUGGGGGGAAGGAAGAAUUUACUAUCUGGUGGAUUAUAUCUAUUUCAGUUAUUUAAAGCAUUGGUAAACUAUUGUCAACUUGUUCACAUUUGCACAAGACAUUCUAUGUAGAAAAUGUAUAUUUUUUAAUGCUGGCAUUAUAACUUUGGCAAUCAUGCAUACUCUGUACAUUAUUGUAGGUUUUGUGUAAGAAAUCUUGUCACCAUUGCUUAAUACUGUAAAUUCUUGUUUCAAAGCAAGAGGUGGCUUUUGAUUGAACAGCCAUGUGUAUUUUAUGGUACUGUAGUACUUGUUCUGUUGUCAAAACUUGCUGUUCACAUGUGGUUAAAGCCUUGUUAAGCACGCUUAGGGGUUUCAGAAUUUAUUUUACACAGCACAUAUAUCAGCCAUUAACAGGGACAUUAAAUCAUAUGUAAUGAAAGAAAUUUCACCCGAGUUCAGGUCCUUUUAGAGAGCUUGGUGUUAGAGUUCAGCAAGCAAUUGCUGGCUGCAGUUUAACACAUUUCAUUGUCUUAAUGUUGGGUAUGCAUCAGUGUGUGCUUUCCAGUUCAGCUGAGAUUAUCCUUCCCAACCCAAAGCCUGAGUAACUGAACUCUGUGCAGGGAAAUAAGCAGGUAAUGGAUAUCCUUCUUUUUACCAUCUCCAACCCACAAUGCAGGCUACAGGACUACAGCAUGGCACUUCACUGCCACUGUUCCAGCUUAUAGGGGUCCCUGCCACUGUAACCAUAUAAGCAUGGAUCCAGUGGCCCCUCCUCUGGUCUACUUCUUCUGCAUCAGGUAGUGGACACAAGUGCAGGAGAUAAUGAAGCACUACCUGCAUACUAUGCUCACAAUCCCUACACAGCGCUACUAAUGUGCCCAUGUGAGGUACAAAGUCUUGCCCUCCUCUACUAAAUGAAUUGCAUUCUUAGUAAGAAUUAUUCAGGUGGCCGGCAAAGGAAAGUAAAAUUGAACUUCCCUCCCUCCCCAUUUUUUUUUUGUUAUUUUGUACAAAGAAGACCUGAAAUGUUGUAGGUUUUGGUUUUUUACAUAUUAGGAAUUCAGACCCUGUCUGGGCAUGGAUACUUUAUGAUAUCCGGACAACUAGUGAAACAGCUGACAGCAUGAGCCAAGAAACUUGAGCUAUUGAGAGAGAAGGAAUUUUUACUCAGACCAUUUAAAACUGGUUUUUGCUUGUUUUCUUUAACAGCUAUUUAACUGAAAUAACUAAUUAAUAUUUUGAAUAAAGGAAGCCUUUAUUAAAUACUUGACACCUUCACCCUUUCAAUUAAAAUGUUAAAAGCCCACGGUAAACAUCCCUUCUACUUCCUAGUGGUUCUCCCCCAAAAAAUCAAGGACAUAUUUGUGAUACUGGUAAGGUAAAAAAGAAAAAACUUUAAAAGAUCAUUUGAGAGCCCCUUUAUAUAUCAUUGAAAAGGCAAAAAGAGCACAAACCCAAUUAUACCAAAAGAUCCUUUGCAGGUCACCUUUAAACAACUAGAAAGGUGUGUCAUAGAGGAAGAAUAGUUUCCAAAAUUGUGAAUUAGACUACUAGUCAAUCCCUAAUUUUAUAAAGAAAGGAAAAUCUUCAUUCAAAAUGCAACAUUCAAAAUAAGCAGAAAUUUAAUUUGAGAAAACAAAUAAAUGUUCUAGGAUAUAGUUCAGAAAACACAAUCCUGUUUCCAUACAAUGGUACACUAAUAAGUUCAAAUGAAUAUAAAAUCAAAGCUGCUAGUAUGUGGGGGGGUCUCCCUAAAUUUUGUGGGUUUCUGCACCAGCUGUCCUAGUCCCCCAAACUUGAUCUUCAUAGUCUACAGCUGCUGCAAGAACCACUCCAUUUCACACCACCACCAUAUAAAGUUCAAAAACAAGUCUCACAAAUAUCAUCUUUGAGGGAAGAUUUCUGCUUUAAAAGCACAUAAACUAGUGAGCCUUACUUUAGAAUGGAAAAUCAUUCCAGGUGCAAAUCUCUUUAGACCUUGUUUGUGAAUAAUUUUUAAAAGCAUCCUUUUUAAUCAUUUAAGAAGGGAAGCAAUAAGUACCCAGAGAUCCAACAAGCUGCCUGACAUCCAUCACUUCACUUCCCAAAUGAUUGCGUUUUGCUUUGGGAGAUAUUUACUACUGUACCUGCAACCACUUGAAAGUUGCCCUCACAAUGCCUCUGUUUUUGAAUCAUUGGUCUAAGUCCUUUAGAAAACAAAUCAUCUAUCAAAGAAUGGAGCAUCCAUUUGUGAAAUAUUCUCCUGUUCUCCACCAUCUAUUCCAUGUGGUGGAAUUUUGGUAUGAUUGGCACUAUUGUGCAGAAAUGUGCACACUUAAUUUGAUGAUGAUUUUGUAGUUAUGUAUUGAGAAAGUGCCCCUCCU